rfam:Cavia porcellus supercont2_49 genomic scaffold, whole genome shotgun sequence.
GCGGGGCGUGGUGGCGCGCGCCUGUAGUCCCAGCUGCUCGGGAGGCUGAGGUGGGAGGCUCGCCCGAGUCCAGGAGUUCUGGGCUGCAGUGCGCUAUGCCGAUCGGGUGUCCACAUUAAGUUCGGCAUCAAUAUGGUGACCUCCUGGGAGCGGGGACCACCAGGUUGUCUAAGGAGGGGUGAACCGGCCCAGGUCGGAAACGGAGCAGGUCAAAACUCCCGUGCUGAUCAGUAGUGGGAUCGCGCCUGCACUCCAGCCGGGGCAAUAUAGUGAGACCCUGUCUCUA